rnacentral:rRNA from 1 species
GACAGAGGUUGCAAACGUUGUUCGGAAUUACUGGGCAUAAAGCGCACGUAGGCGGUCCGUUAAGUCAUGUGUGAAAUCCCCCCGGCUCAACCGGGGAAUUGCGCCUGAUACUGGCGGGCUAGAGGUCGAUAGGGGUGAGCGGAACUCCAGGUGGAGCGGUGAAAUGCGUAGAUAUCUGGAGGAACACCGGUGGCGAAAGCGGCUCACUGGAUCGAAACUGACGCUGAGGUGCGAAAAGCUAGGGU